AGAGUUUGAUCCUGGCUCAGAUUGAACGCUGGCGGCAUGCCUUACACAUGCAAGUCGAACGGUAACAGGUCUUCGGAUGCUGACGAGUGGCGAACGGGUGAGUAAUACAUCGGAACGUGCCCGAGAGUGGGGGAUAACGCAGCGAAAGCUGUGCUAAUACCGCAUACGAUCUACGGAUGAAAGCAGGGGACCGCAAGGCCUUGCGCUCAUGGAGCGGCCGAUGGCAGAUUAGGUAGUUGGUGGGAUAAAAGCUUACCAAGCCGACGAUCUGUAGCUGGUCUGAGAGGACGACCAGCCACACUGGGACUGAGACACGGCCCAGACUCCUACGGGGGGCAGCAGUGGGGAAUUUUGGACAAUGGGCGAAAGCCUGAUCCAGCCAUGCCGCGUGCAGGAUGAAGGCCUUCGGGUUGUAGACUGCUUUUGUACGGAACGAAAAGGUCUUUU
rnacentral:rRNA from 1 species